rnacentral:rRNA from 1 species
AAGUCGAACGAGACCUUCGGGUCUAGUGGCGCACGGGUGCGUAACGCGUGGGAAUCUGCCCUUUGCUACGGAAUAACUCAGAGAAAUUUGUGCUAAUACCGUAUAAUGUCGAAAGACCAAAGAUUUAUCGGCAAAGGAUGAGCCCGCGUAGGAUUAGCUAGUUGGUGAGGUAAAGGCUCACCAAGGCGACGAUCCUUAGCUGGUCUGAGAGGAUGAUCAGCCACACUGGGACUGAGACACGGCCCAGACUCCUACGGGAGGCAGCAGUGGGGAAUAUUGGACAAUGGGCGAAAGCCUGAUCCAGCAAUGCCGCGUGAGUGAUGAAGGCCUUAGGGUUGUAAAGCUCUUUUACCAGGGAUGAUAAUGACAGUACCUGGAGAAUAAGCUCCGGCUAACUCCGUGCCAGCAGCCGCGGUAAUACGGAGGGAGCUAGCGUUGUUCGGAAUUACUGGGCGUAAAGCGCACGUAGGCGGCGACUCAAGUCAGAGGUGAAAGCCUGGAGCUCAACUCCAGAACUGCCUUUGAAACUAGGUCGCUAGAAUCUUGGAGAGGCGAGUGGAAUUCCGAGUGUAGAGGUGAAAUUCGUAGAUAUUCGGAAGACACCAGUGGCG